AUUUCUCGCACACACCUGGAGGCUGGAAGUCACAAUGUCAUCCGUGAAGGGAGUCGGCUCUUAUAUUUUUGUGUCUUUUGAAGCGAAUUAUCCUGUUGCCGAAGGAGCCAUGGAUCUGGAAACGGCUGGGGAAGGAGACGGUGGCUGAGUGGUUAGCGUGCCGGUCCUGCGUUCGCUGCGUCAUAGAUGAUGAGGGUUUGAAUCCACCGCUGCCACAGACUACCUGUCCUGAAGACCACCACCAUCAUCCUGGACUGUAUGGGACUGUCCAAGGGAAAGCUAGAUGGGGCCGCUAUAAACACUUGCCGGCUUGGGCCCACCACCAGGCCCAGCCAAGGGAGGUUGGUGUAGCAGUGCCGGGAGGUGCCAUAACACAGGGCACUCCUCACCUCAACAACAGUCUCUUCACCGACAAGUAAUUCUUCACCAACAAGCUUUUCAGCAGCUUGGAGAAAUAGACACUACCAAACGAAGAAGAGGAGGAGGAGGAGGAGGACUGGGAAGAAGACGAGGAACACAGGAGGAACCCAUUGAGAGAACAAGAAGAAGAAGAAGAAGAAGAAGAGGAGGACACAGGAAUUCCUUGAAUUGAAUGGCUGGCGUCU